AACCCAUGCAUAGGACAUUUCCUAAACAAAUUUUUGAACCUUUCCCAUGCUUCAUACAGUGUUUCAUCCUCUAGUUACUUGAAGAAUGAUAUGUCAUUUCUCAGUUU
rfam:Gossypium raimondii chromosome 13, whole genome shotgun sequence.